rnacentral:rRNA from 1 species
CCUACGGGAGGCAGCAGUGGGGAAUAUUGGACAAUGGGGGGAACCCUGAUCCAGCCAUGCCGCGUGUGUGAAGAAGGCCCUCGGGUUGUAAAGCACUUUCAGUGAGGAAGAACGCCUGGUGGUUAAUACCCAUCAGGAAAGACAUCACUCACAGAAGAAGCACCGGCUAACUCCGUGCCAGCAGCCGCGGUAAUACGGAGGGUGCGAGCGUUAAUCGGAAUUACUGGGCGUAAAGCGCGCGUAGGUGGCUUGAUAAGCCGGUUGUGAAAGCCCCGGGCUCAACCUGGGAACGGCAUCCGGAACUGUCAAGCUAGAGUGCAGGAGAGGAAGGUAGAAUUCCCGGUGUAGCGGUGAAAUGCGUAGAGAUCGGGAGGAAUACCAGUGGCGAAGGCGGCCUUCUGGACUGACACUGACACUGAGGUGCGAAAGCGUGGGUAGCAAACAGGAUUAGAUACCCAAGUAGUC